GCAUAUCAAUAAGCGGAGGAAAAGAAACUAACAAGGAUUCCCCUAGUAACGGCGAGUGAAGAGGGAAGAGCCCAAGAUUGAAAGCUGGCGCCUUCGGCGUCCGCAUUGUAAUCUCAAGAAGCAUUUUCCGCUUCGGACCAAGCCUAAGUCCCUUGGAAAAGGGCAUCGUAGAGGGUGAGAAUCCCGUACAUGGCUUGGAGCGCCCGAGGCUUUGUGAUAUGCAUUCUAAGAGUCGAGUUGUUUGGGAAUGCAGCUCAAAAUGGGUGGUAAAUGCCAUCUAAGGCUAAAUAUUGGGGAGAGACCGAUAGCGAACAAGUACCGUGAGGGAAAGAUGAAAAGAACUUUGAAAAGAGAGUUAAACAGUACGUGAAAUUGCCAAAAGGGAAGGGUAGGAGGUCAGAGAUGCGGCAUGGGAUUCAGCCUUGCUUUUGCUUGGUGUUUUUCCCAUUUUGCAGGCCAACGUCGGUUUUGGGCACUGGAGAAUGGUGGGAGGAAUGUGGCACUCUUCGGGGUGUGUUAUAGCCUCCUACUGGAUACAGCGACCGGGACCGAGGAACGCAGCGUACUCGAAAGAGCGGGCCUUCGGGCAC
rnacentral:rRNA from 1 species